rnacentral:tRNA from 1 species
GCAUUGGUAGUGUCGCGGUUAGCAUGGCUGCAUUCCAAGCAGUUGGUCUGGGUUGAAUUCCCAGCCAACGUA